GGCUGCCCCAGGGCACAGGCACUGAGUGGCGCUCAGCGGGGACCGGGAUCGUGACCCUGGCUGGCGUGGGUAGGUGUUCCAGCACUUGGCACCAGCGCGCCUAAGAGGUCGCGGCUCCACCGCCGGCCACGCGCGCUGUGAACACGAGCUCUGGCGCGCGCACUGCCCGGCAGUCCGCAGCGCCCGCCCGGAGGGCGAGGGCGCGUUCGCUCUGGGCGCGCUCGGGCCAGGCCCGCCUACCCUGGUUUUGCUUUUCGCUUUCGCUUUGCAGCUUCUCUACAGAGAAACAAAGGGGCCGCGACGACUGGAGAUGCGGCCGCGGUCAGGGGAGCCGAGCGGCCUGAACCCCGGGCCCGGGCCGGCAGGCAAGAUGGCAGCAUGUCCUGGGCCUCCUUGUGAUAUCAAGAAGCUGGACAGCUGAGAAAGAAGAAAAUGGACUCCCUCCUUCUGAAGACUUGCUUGAAAGCCAGCCACGAGUGCUAGAGCAUGCAGCCGCUCAGAUGAGAGCAACAUGGAGGUCUCUGGAAUCAAUCCUGAUGACUUAGUGACAGGAGCUUUGUCACAGAGCCAUCUCUGCAGCCCUCAUAAAUGCUUCUUAGAGAGGACAACAGGAGGGCCUAGUGCCAACCUAUAUCUAUGUUUUCUGGUACAGGUUGUCAGAGCCUCAGCAAUGCUCCUGCCCUAGGGAAGCCCAGCUGCCACCUCUCUGAGUGACUUAAUAGCUGUGCCCAUGGAAUUUAAAGGAGUGCCUCGGAUCCCCUGGAACUGGAGUUAUAAGCAGUCAAACCUGGGCCCUCUGCAGGAGUAGGAAAUGCUCUUACCUGCUGAGCCAUCUUUCGAGCUCUGACUUGAGGCAUCUCAGUGGAUCGGCUUCUUCAGUAUAUUUGAAACUUCUGGUGCCUGGAUCUCUCCCUGACCCCAAAGAUUCCAAAGAGAUUGAUGUGAGUUAAAAUAAAUAAAUACAAAGUUUGUAUUAAAGGAUGACAUAAACAACAACAAAAAAGCACAAGGCAUAUAUAUAAAUCGAUCUUAUUUCCUCAAGUGAACUCAGCCUUUUGAGUAACCAGCAUUUGAGAUGACUAUCACCAGUAUCCCUUGUUACCAGUCAUAACUGUGGUCUGCGUCAGGCAUGUUAAUGGAGUCACAGCUGGAUACAGCAGCUCCCCCAC
rnacentral:lncRNA from 1 species